GAAGUUGUUUGGUCUCAUGAACAAGGAAGUUCAGGGCUGGCUGUUGCAGUUUCUAGAUGCCUGUACUCUACACUGAAUGGGUAUUCUUAUGGCUUAGAAAUGGGAAGCAAUGAACUGGCCAGGUCCUCAUUUGAUGGCGAGCUACCCACUAGGCCUUUA